GUUCAGCCUCUCCCUCAGUUGUGCAUAAGAAGCGUUAGCAUUGGGCUCAAUUGGCCGGUCGGAAUUAGCAAGCCACAACUUGGCGUGCUCGAUACAACGCUGCAACGCAUUCUUAUGAGAUAAGCUGGAAUCAACAGGGCGCGAAAUCAACAACCCGCCAAGCUUUGAAAUCAUGUCCAAAUCCCUUUCUCCAAGCAGAUCCGUAGCAUCAUCAGUCACAUAAUCGU
rnacentral:misc_RNA from 1 species